rnacentral:rRNA from 1 species
UACGGGGGGGACUAGCGUUGUUCGGAUUUACUGGGCGUAAAGGGCGCGUAGGCGGACUUUCAAGUCGGGUGUGAAAACCUUGAGCUCAACUCAGGGCUUGCAUUCGAUACUGUUGGUCUUGAGUACAGGAGAGGAAAGUGGAAUUCCAGGUGUAGCGGUGAAAUGCGUAGAUAUCUGGAAGAACACCAGUAGCGAAGGCGGCUUUCUGGACUGAUACUGACGCUAAAGCGCGAAGGCUUGGGGAGCAAACAGGAUUAGAUACCCUGGUAGUCCAAGCGGUAAACGAUGGGUACUAGGUGUCGGGGGUAUCGACCCCCCCGGUGCCGAAGCUAACGCAUUAAGUACCCCGCCUGGGGAGUACGGUCGCAAGAUUGAA